AAGGCCAUAGCUUAAAUGUAAAGCAAGCUGCUCAUGAUAGCUCAGAUAAGUGUUCAAAUCACUUUGUCCUUA
rfam:Lasallia pustulata genome assembly, contig: scaffold475_size37941